CAAAAAGUAGUAUAAAGUUUACAACUUGCUUACACCAAGUAAAAGGUCUCCAAACCCUUUUUGA
rnacentral:tRNA from 1 species